rnacentral:rRNA from 1 species
ACGCAACGCGAAGAACCUUACCAAGGCUUGAAAUGCAAGUGAAGCGGUGGAAACGCGUGGCCGAAAGGAGCUUGCACAGGUGGUGCAUGGUUGUCGUCAGCUCGUGUCGUGAGAUGUUGGGUUAAGUCCCGCAACGAGCGCAACCCCUGUGGUUAGUUGCCAGCAAGUAGCGUUGGGCACUCUAGCCAGACUGCCGGUGAUAAAUCGGAGGAAGGUGGGGACGACGUCAAAUCAUCAUGCCCUUUAUGUCCUGGGCUACACACGUACUACAAUGGCCGUUUACAACGGGAAGCGAAGGAGCAAUCCGGAGCGAAAUCCCUUAAAGGCGGUCCCAGUUCAGAUUGUGGGCUGAAACUCGCCCACAUGAAGGCGGAAUUGCUAGUAAUUGCAGAUCAGCAUGCUGCAGUGAAUACGUUCCCGGGCCUU